GGAUAUCAGAUAUCAAUAUGCCCCAUUUGAGAUUAAACGUCUCCGAUAUUAAAAGCAGGAUUUAAUGCUUGUGCACCGAUGAUUAUGGUUUGCAAGUUUGGCUUUUCUGUUACAUUU